GGACUGAUUGUCUUCCGUAUCAGCUGGGGCUGACAAGUCUGCUCUCUCCCUGCGAGCAAACACGGAAAGAUGUCCUCUGUCGACUUGCUUCAAAAAUUCUGUCAUUUGAACUCUUUCUGAAGACGAAACGCGGACAGCAGACGACAGAGUUCACCUAAAAUAUGGUGCAUCGGUGGUCAAGAUUUGUAAAAAGUAAGCCAGCUAUCAUGGUGGUAUCAUGAUCAGGAGAAAAUUAAGCAGUAGUGAUCUUCGUUCGUGAAGGAAGAA